rnacentral:rRNA from 1 species
CGAGGCGAACCGGGGAAAGUGAAACAUCUCAGUACCCCGAGGAAAAGAAAUCAACCGAGAUUCCCCCAGUAGCGGCGAGCGAACAGGGAGCAGCCCAGAGUCAACAUCAAUAUUUACCGCAGGAGAAAGAUCUGGAAAGGCCGGCAAUAAAGGGUGAUAGCCCCGUAUCUGAAGCGGUAAGUGUUGUGAACUCGAAGAGUAAGGCGGGACACGUGUUAUCCUGUCUGAAUAUGGGGGGACCAUCCUCCAAGGCUAAAUACUCCUGACUGACCGAUAGUGAACCAGUACCGUGAGGGAAAGGCGAAAAGAACCCCGGCGAGGGGAGUGAAAUAGAACCUGAAACCGUGUACGUACAAGCAGUGGGAGCACCCGAAAGGGUGUGACUGCGUACCUUUUGUAUAAUGGGUCAGCGACUUAUAUUCUGUAGCAAGGUUAACCGCAUAGGGGAGCCGUAGGGAAACCGAGUCUUAACUGGGCGUUAAGUUGCAGGGUAUAGACCCGAAACCCGGUGAUCUAGCCAUGGGCAGGUUGAAG